rnacentral:rRNA from 1 species
AUUGACCUCGAAUCAGGUAGGGAUACCCGCUGAACUUAAGCAUAUCAAUAAGCGGAGGAAAAGAAACCAACAGGGAUUGCCUUAGUAACUGCGAGUGAAGCGGCAAGAGCUCAAAUUUGAAAUCUGGCGCCUUUGGCGUCCGAGUUGUAAUUUGGAGAGGCAUCUUCGGGGUCGGCGCCGGCCUAAGUUCCUUGGAACAGGACGUCAUAGAGGGUGAGAAUCCCGUUCUCGGCUGGCUGUCCGUCCUCAUGUGAAGUGUCUUCGACGAGUCGAGUUGUUUGGGAAUGCAGCUCAAAAUGGGUGGUAAACUCCAUCUAAAGCUAAAUACUGGCGAGAGACCGAUAGCGCACAAGUAGAGUGAUCGAAAGAUGAAAAGCACUUUGAAAAGAGAGUUAAAAAGUACGUGAAAUUGUUGAAAGGGAAGCGCUUGAGACCAGACUCGGCGUGAGGUAUUCAUCGUCCCUUCUGGGGCGUGCACUUGCCUCUCGUCGGGCCAGCAUCGGUUGCGGCGGCGGGAUAAAGACCCGGGGAAUGUGGCUGCUCUCGGGCAGUGUUAUAGCCCCGGGUGCCAUGCCGCCUGCUGCGACCGAGGACCGCGCU